CCGUCACCUUCAACCUACCACCACCUCCACAGUCACCUUCAACCCACCCCACCCCCACCUCCACCCUGAUGCUCGUCUGCCACAGCUUUGCAAGGGUUAGAAUAUCUCGACAACAUCUGGUAUUCCGGCAAGUUUGGGUGGCUGAACCAAAGUUGAAGAUCAUCUAUAUCACCUCUUAUUUAACACAGAUCCGCAAUCCAAGUGGUGGAAAAUUUGGGUAUCGUUUCGGUUUCUGUACGAAUCAAUUCAUAUAUAACAAAUUCAAUGUACAAGCAGCCUUGAAGGGAUUCCUAUU